rnacentral:rRNA from 1 species
GACGAGCGCUGGCGGUGUGCUUAACACAUGCAAGUCGAACGGUAAGGCCCUUUCGGGGGUACACGAGUGGCGAACGGGUGAGUAACACGUGAGUAACCUGCCCUCAUCUCUGGGAUAACAGUCGGAAACGGUUGCUAAUACUGGAUAUGAGCCUGCAAGGCAUCUUGUGGGUUGGAAAGAUUUUUUGGUUGGGGAUGGACUCGCGGCCUAUCAGCUUGUUGGUGAGGUAGUGGCUCACCAAGGCUUCGACGGGUAGCCGGCCUGAGAGGGCGACCGGCCACAUUGGGACUGAGAUACGGCCCAAACUCCUACGGGAGGCAGCAGUGGGGAAUAUUGCACAAUGGACGGAAGUCUGAUGCAGCAACGCCGCGUGCGGGAUGACGGCCUUCGGGUUGUAAACCGCUUUCAAUUGUGACGAAGCUUUUUGUGACGGUAGCAGUAGAAGAAGCACCGGCUAACUACGUG